rnacentral:lncRNA from 1 species
GGAAGAAGCAGCUAAGAUCACAGCAGCCUCAAUUUAAAUUUGUUGCAAUGAUUAUGGAUAUGCACCUUUCAUUUCCUGAAUUUAAGCUGCUGAUGAGAGAAGUGAUCCCAGGGGAACUGUUCAGGAACCCAGACAAAAUUAUUUUUAACCAGAUGAGUUCAUCAUGCAGCUACAUGAACCUCUGUGUUAGCGAUUUGAAGGUAACAGCAGCUAGAGGCUAGAGCUGAAGUCUCUCUCUCCUGAGAGGCUCAAGGAUGCUUUUUUAGUGACAAUUUACUUCAUCCUGAACUAAUAUUGAAACCUUAUAUGCUUUAAUUUAUACUUGUCUAAUUAAAAACAAAAACAAAAAAACAAAACAAACAAAAAAAAAAAACAAAAAACAAAAAAACAAUAUGCUUACUUUUAUAACUACUUUGAAAAAGCACCUUAUUUGUUGCUUGAAGCCACAUGUAUUCAGACAACACACACUUUAUCAGAGGAAUUUCACCAUGGCUAUCCUUUGCAACUUUUCUCCUUCCUUUGUAGUCUCUCUUCUCUUUGCUUUCUCAAUUUCUCUAGAUGACCAGAAUUCAUGGAGUGAUGUGGGAGAAUAUGACGUAUUUGUAUACUGUUAUUUUCUUCUAAUUUGCAGGAAAGUUGAUCUUCAGUUUAAAGGGAAAAUAGAUGGAAGUGAGAGAAAAAGACAAGACCAGCUUGGAACGUGAGACUGUAAUUCUCUGCUGCGUGUUAAGGCAAUGACUGGCAUGAUUAGCUACAGACAGUUUUCAUGAUCUUAAUGAAGAGCCAAAGAAGAAAUAGUUUGCCAACCUGUACUUCAGCAUGUUAUCAAAGGCUUGCAAAUCAGUUUAGCAUCUGGCCUUUGAAAAUUUAAUCAGGGAAUUUCAAGUGUUAGUAAAUUAAGGCCUGAUUUUACUGACCUUUAAGUCAAUGAGAGUUUUGCUAUUGGGUUAAUUGUAAGCAGAACUAGUCCUUUGUAUUUCAAAGUAACCACAUGCUGGGGGAAAAAAACAAUCACAAUUUAUAAUCUACAUGUUUUAAAACUGAUUUUUUUUCCUGAUAAAGUCAUAUACGUUACAAUAUUGAGACUGAAUGAGCUAGGCCUUUGCAUCCUAGAGAUGAGAAGGCUCAGAGGGGACCUCAACACAGUAUUCCAGUACUUAAAGGAGUUCUACAACAAGGUUGGAGACUGUGUGGAGACACAAGGAGCCAUAAGGAGAAGACAAGGGGCAACAGGUUGCAAUGGGAGAGGCUGCAUACUGGCCAUCUGUAUGUAUCCUGAAUUGUGGGUCGCAAAUACUGUAGUUUUAAAAAUUCUUUAUGGUUUUACACUUCAAUGUGAAAUGAUAGAUGUGUUCUGAUCCUCAAGAAAUACCCCGUCUGCUAAGAAAGCAGAUGGACAAGAGUUUCAGGGGACUUGUUUACUAUGGUGCAAAGUUACAACACACUAUUCAGUGUGUCUCUCUAAAAGGCAAAAAAAAAAAAAAAAAAAAAAGUUGAAAGACUGGCAGUAAGGACUAUCCUAUUUUGAGACAGUCUCUCUAUGUGUAUGAUUGACAUCCACUAAGGCAAUUUGUUGGAUCAGUCUUUUUUGCCGAGCUUGAACUUGGGUUGGAGAGUAUUGCACUCUCUCAUCUGAGUGGUUGGUUAUGUUGUCUGUGACCUGGCUCAGCUCAGAAGGCAUAGAAUAUCAUCUCUUCACAGCAGAGGGAGCAGUUAUGUUCAAGGAUGGAAUUUACAAAACAGUUGGUGAGUUCAGAGCAUAUAGCAGGCAUUAAUGUCACGACAAACUUCUUUGACUAUCUCCAUUAAUUGUGUCUUCAAAGGCAGAAAAGCAACAGAGAAGAGUAAAGUAUGGUUAGAUCAAUGCAUUGCAAUAAGCCAAAGUCAGGAGAGGACCAUCGUGGCCCUCCAGAACUUAUUGAAGCUUUAAGGAGGAACAGUUACCUUCCUAUUUUGCAGGACAAUUAUUUUAUUUUUCUAUAAUCUAAAGUAAAAGUCCUAGUUAUGGACAGGAGUGGAGUUACUGCUUAUUGCUUUGACAUGGCCUUCAACUGGAAGAGUUUUAUAUAUAUAUAUAAAUAAAUAUAUAUAUAAAUGUUCUAUAUAUAGAGAG